ensembl:piRNA 21ur-4520 ncRNA
UAAUGCAUCGAUAAUUGUCAA